rnacentral:rRNA from 1 species
AGUGAACGCUGGCGGUAGGCCUAACACAUGCAAGUCGAACGGCAGCACAGUAAGAGCUUGCUCUUACGGGUGGCGAGUGGCGGACGGGUGAGGAAUACAUCGGAAUCUACUUUUUCGUGGGGGAUAACGUAGGGAAACUUACGCUAAUACCGCAUACGACCUACGGGUGAAAGCAGGGGAUCUUCGGACCUUGCGCGAUUGAAUGAGCCGAUGUCGGAUUGCUAGUUGGCGGGGUAAAGGCCCACCAAGGCGACGAUCCGUAGCUGGUCUGAGAGGAUGAUCAGCAAAACUGGAACUGAGAAACGGUCCAGAAUCCUACGGGAGGCAGCAGUGGGGAAUAUUGGACAAUGGGCGCAAGCCUGAUCCAGCCAUACCGCGUGGGUGAAGAAGGCCUUCGGGUUGUAAAGCCCUUUUGUUGGGAAAGAAAAGCAGCAGGUUAAUACCCCGCUGUUCUGACGGUACCCAAAGAAUAAGCACCGGCGAACUUCGU